UACGUAGGCAGCAAGUGUUGUUCGGAGUUACUGGGCGUAAAGGGUGUGUAGGCGGUCCUCUAAGUUUGGUGUGAAAUCUCCCGGCUCAACUGGGAGGGUGCGCCGAAAACUGCGAUGCUGGAGUAUGGGAGAGGAAAGCGGAAUUCCUGGUGUAGCGGUGAAAUGCGUAGAUAUCAGGAGGAACACCUGCGGUGUAGACGGCUUUCUGGACCAUUACUGACACUGAGACACGAAAGCGUGGGUAGCAAACAGG
rnacentral:rRNA from 1 species